rnacentral:snoRNA from 1 species
UUAAAAGCGAAGCUCCUGUUCCUUAACCAAAGGGUGAGGGAACAAGGUGAUUGAAAUUGCUGAAUUUGUAAUUAACAUCUGUGUGAUUAGGGCUCCCCACAACACUCUAGUUCUAUCUAAU